UCAGUCCCUGCCUUUAGGCUGCUCAGUCAGUAGGUUACUUUGACCCGCCCAAUCCUUGCUCUGAGACCCUGAGGGCGGAGCUUGCCGGGGCAGUUCUUUCACAAUGGCUUCCUGCGCCAGCUCAGUGGCUCAGUCUGGGGCCCCAGACAAUGCCCAAAGUUCUCCACACUCCUGCUCAAGCUCUCCCCAAGGCAGUUCAACUGAGUGCCAAGUCCAAGAACACCGAAACAGUUCACAGCCAACAACAUUUAUUUGGAACCUAGUGUGUACCAGAAACUAUAUAUAUGAAGACGUGAAUCCUGAAGAGAUCGGGUUUGCAGUCAAAAUGGGAAACAAAUAGAAGAUGAACACAAAAUGAUUUUGAAAGUGUAUUGACAGGUAACACUAUGAGGACUCCAAGGCCUGGAAGAGAAAACUGGCUGCCCUGAGGUUCCUUGGUGAGAACUCAACUCUCCUAGUAGAGCCAUCCAAGACGCCAGAGAAUUCUGGAGAGAGGAAUUCUGGCUGAUUGGCAGCAGCGCUGGCUGCCCUGGCUCCCAAACCCUGCCCCCCAACCCACAUCUGAGCAGCAGAGAUGCCCAGAGCCUGCAGGCCUCCACUGCUGGCCUGGCCCCAGCUUUUGCACAGGCCAGCCACUCUGUACCUGCUAUCCCCACUGCUAUCUUGUUGGGUGGCUUUUUCACAGGCCCCACAGUUCUUAGAGGUCUUUGGGGAGAGUGGCAGCUCUCUGUGUCCACUGCCAGGCCUCGGGUGUUACUCUUCAUGUGGCCUACCCAUACUCAGUUGUUUUCUCCUUGGCUCCUCCCAGGCUGGUGGCUGAAGUUUGCAGGGUACAGGUGCGUUGGGUUGGGCUCCACACCUCUCAGAACUGGUGUCUAAGUGAACCUUACCUCCCCCACCUCUGCUGGGUGCCUGAUCCCAGGCUGCUGGUGCAGUGAGUUUCCCUUGACAGAGCCCUAUUUUCAGCUCCUCAUGCAGUUGGCCUGGAUGGGAAACUUACUGCCAAUCCCCAGCUGUGUGACCUGGGGCCGAUUUCCUCAUCUUGGUGUGUCUGCUCUCUCAUCUGUCAAAUGGGACAAUCAUGGUACUUACCUUAUGGGCUUAUUUUGAGGAUUAAAUGAGUUAACAGAUCUGAAGCAUUUUCAACAGUGUCUGGCAGUGGUAAACAGUCAUUAAAUGUUAGCUAUGGUCUCUGUGUUCAAACUAUUUGUAAGUCAGGGGGGUGUUGGGGGAGAUUGUCUGGAAGUGGGUUCAUUAUAGAAAGACAUUUAACCUCUCUCUGCCUCAGUUUCCUCAUCUGUACAGUGGGAAUAAAAAUUCUGAGAGGUUAUAAUAUGAUUUUUCCACAUUAAGCCCUUAAAACAGUACAUGGCACAUAGAAUUCAAUAAAUGUUUGCUGUUA